CAAUAGCGUAUAUUUAAGUUGUUGCAGUUAAAAAGCUCGUAGUUGGAUUUCGGUUAAGAGCGACCGGUCCGCCGUUUGGUGUGCACUGGUUGGUUUUAACUUCCUGUAGAGGACGUGCUCUGGGUUUAACGACCUGGACUCGGAGUCUACGUGGUUACUUUGAAAAAAUUAGAGUGUUCAAAGCGGGCUUACGCUUGAAUAUUUCAGCAUGGAAUAACACUAUAGGACUCCUGUCCUAUUUCGUUGGUCUCGGGACGGGAGUAAUGAUUAAGAGGAACAGUUGGGGGCAUUCGUAUUUCAUUGUCAGAGGUGAAAUUCUUGGAUUUAUGAAAGACGAACUUCUGCGAAAGCAUUUGCCAAGGAUGUUUUCAUCAA
rnacentral:rRNA from 1 species